GCUCUUUACUGCCGCGGCAGUGUGUGGAGAGAACGUGCUGUGUAAGAAGCAGGCCCUCACAGCACCCCAAGUCUACUGGCCCUAUCUUCUCUUGUUUCCCAGCUUCCAGAGCUGUAAUACUUCCUGUUGUUUAUAAAUUGCCUAGCCUGUGGCAUCUUGUUAUGGCAGCGUAAUUAACUAAAGCACUCACAGAGUCCUGAUGAAGAGCAAAGCGUCUAAGCCUCCUGACACCACAGAGCGAGCUUAGUUCAUCUUCUAUUCCCUAAUCCCCAGUAAAGCCCCUCACAUCUAGAUUUCACUAAGACCUCAUUUUCUAUGUUUUUGUGGUGCUAGUUAGUAUAGCCAGAGCAU
rnacentral:lncRNA from 1 species